AUGACGCACAACGGGGGAAGCUGGAUGACCAAGGCGCGAAUGCCACUGAGACGGCUUGACACGAACACCGUUGAAGACCUGGGAAGCUCGAGGUGCAUCAAGUGGAUAGAGACCAUGUUCAUAAUGACCACUAAGAAAAACAUCCCUCGUUGCGCAGUUGUCAGGGCGGCCCUUGCGGAGGCAUUGGUGCACUACUACCCGCUCGCAGGCCAUCUCCGGGAGGCUCCCGGGGGUAGACUAGUUGUCGAGUGCAUCGGGGAUGGCAUGGUGUUCGUGGAGGCAGAGGCAGAUGUGUCCCUGGAUGAGCUUGGCGAACCGCCGCUGGCAGCAUGCCCAUUCGUAGAAGAACUGUUGUGCGAUGUGGGCGACCUUAGGGUUGUCCUUGGAGUUCCCUUGUUCUUCAUGCAGGUAACCCAACUCAGAUGCGGGGGAUUUGUGAUUGGUCUUCACAUAUGCCAGAAUAUCGCCGACGGCUACAGCAGCACCCAAUUCCUAAAAUGUAUCGUUGACUUGGCAUGUACCAGGGGUGACGCCUCCCAAAUUGUAUCGCCGGUGUGGAAUAGGGAUCUCCUAACAACACACAUCCCUUCGCACAUAAACCCGGCCUAUGAGGAAUUCCUCCAACGAUUAGGCACCACCGCCGACGACAUCAUGUUGUCAACACCGCUAGAAGAAAUGGUCGGUCGCUUCUUCCUCUUCGGCCCAGGGGACAUGGCAUCGCUACGAAGGCAUGCCCCCGCGCACCUAACACCGCCGGUCACCAGCUUUGAGCUUCUGACUACGGUCAUGUGGCGUUGCCGCACAGUGGCACUUGGUUACAAGCUCCACCAGCGGGUGCGCCUGAUGUUUUCUCUAAAUGCGAGUGGGAGGUGGAAGCGUCAUGCGCUCGUCCCACGUGGGUUCUACGGGAAUGCACUCUUCUACCCUGCAGUACACACAACCGCCGAAGAACUGUGCUUCAACCCGCUUGGCUAUGCGCUCGGACUCAUCCGCGAGGCCAAGUGUGACAUGACAGACGACAACAUGGAGUCGAUGGUUGAUUUCACGGCCUCUAUGCGUGGGCAGCCACCUCUCACCAUGGACAGGAUGUACGAGGCCUCUGACAUCAAAUGGGUUGGGCAGGACGCGCUAGAUUUCGGAUGGGCGAAGCGGGUUGACGGCGGCGUACCGAUGGUUGGGGACAUCCCCUCCAAGUCCAUGAGCUACCACAUGAGGUACAGGAAUGGCAGCGGAACCGGGGCGUUCGAGCCCUUUUCUUCUAAAAAAAAACAUGCAAUGGACAAGUUCGAGAAGGAGAUUGCUGUUUGGGUUAACAACGAAAACUAG
rnacentral:rRNA from 1 species